rnacentral:rRNA from 1 species
GAUGAACGCUGACAGAAUGCUUAACACAUGCAAGUCAACUGUGGCGGACGGGUGAGUAACGCGUAAAGAACUUGCCUCACAGAUAGGGACAACAUUUGGAAACGAAUGCUAAUACCACACUACCAGAUGGACCUGCGUUGUAUUAGCUAGUUGGUGGGGUAACGGCUCACCAAGGCAACGAUACAUAGCCGACCUGAGAGGGUGAUCGGCCACAAGGGGACUGAGACACGGCCCUUACUCCUACGGGAGGCAGCAGUGGGGAAUAUUGGACAAUGGACCAAAGUCUGAUCCAGCAAUUCUGUGUGCACGAUGAAGUUGUCGGAAUGUAAAGUGCUUUCAGUUGGGAAGCGGUACCAACAGAAGAAGUGACGGCUAAAUACGUGCCAGCAGCCGCGGUAAUUC